ACGGACAAGCAACGGACCAAAGGGAAAAAGGAGAAAAAGCACGCGGGUCACAAUUCCAAAAAAGGGGAAAAACAAACUGAAGCAAAAAAAACACGCGGGUCACAAAGACCCGGGUCGAAAAUCCAUAUGCAAUCACAAAACUUUCGCUUUCAGCAAGCAAAAAUUUGAACACUGCCGAUUCUUUGAUGGAGUCCCUUUACCCCGAUUCUGAGCAUUUCCCCUCUCACUCUUCCACAGAACCUGUUGCAAACCUGUUGAUUUGAAAGAAAUCUUGGGUUUGUAUAGUUAUUUUGUGGCUGUGCAAUUGGAUAGUUUGCAAACCGUAAGUUCAGUGAGACUCUCUCUCCUAAAGAAAUUCAUUUUUGUAGUGAUGCAUAAUAAAUAACCUGUAUAAAGAGGAGUUAUGAUUUGAAUGAUGCUAUAGAGUUCUUUAACCAGUUAUGGGUGGAAAAGCCUUUUCUCCCAUUUGCAAUUCCUUUGGUUUUAGUUUUUUGGUCAAUUAAGAAAUGAAUCUUUUCUCUCUCCAAUUGGGUUCCUCUUGCAGUGGCUGUUUGGGCUACUGUUCAGGUUACAUCUUGUGAUUUCCACCCUUUUCAAUUACUUGUGACCCUUUGAUUUGCAGAAUUUGGAGUUUAUUGUAAAUUAUUUGCCUUUUUUUUUUGUUUUUUAUUUAGUUUACUUUGAUGUAAUGUUUUGUAUGAAAGUCAAGAUUACUGCCGGCUUUAGAUGUAGAUCAUACUUAUUAGGCGCAUAGCAACAAUAAAUCUAUGCUCUCCUGCGGAACACAUGCCUAUAAGGUAUCCCUGGUCAGUCUUGUUUUGCAUCUUUGAUAAAUGAUAAAUGAUAAAUGAUAAAGAAAGCCAGUAAUGGUUUGGAUCAGGCAUUUCUUUUCUCUCUUUAUGUCUUUACGUAUAAAGAAAACCAGCACUGGUUUGAAGUAGGCUUUUCAUUUAUCAGUUUAUGUUUCUAUAUAUUUUCGUAAAUGUCUUCAUACCAAUUUGCCAAGGACUUGUGGUUUUAACCAACUGUUAAGGUUGGGAUCAAGUAAACUUUUUAUUUUCCAAAGAAUUUUCUUUCACUUGAAGUAUCCCUUCAGAAUGCAUCCGUGACCAACCUUGCUAUAGCUGUGCCUUUUAUUAUGUUGAUAUCUAAUCAUUUACUUUUUGACACGACAUUACUCAAUUUUGCGAGUCGUUGUGUAGGCAAACACAUUGGAGACUCAAUGUACUGCCAUGUGCGUUAGUGUGACAUAACUUGAUGCAUGAGGCUUGGGAAAAAUAAGCAGUUAAUAUUCGCUCACUUACUUAGUGUCAGCUCCUCUUUGUUGAGAACAUUUACCCUACGUUUCAAAUCUCAUAUUUGUGUGGGAUCUGUGUUCCUAUUUGGACAGACUUAUCCAUAAAUGGUGUUCUAAUAUUGCAGUCAUAUAAGUUUUAGAAAUUUUUUUAUAUCUAACAAGCUGACGUAAUUCAUUCAAAUAUACAAUUUGGAAUUAUUGUUGAUCGGUUUUAUGCCUGUCUGUUGAUAGAAAAUAUGUCAUCAAAUUCUUCUACUGCUACAUCCGUAUGGCCUCCGUUCAUAUGGCGUUGUGGUACGGGCCCUUGUAUAGUAAAACUUUCAAUGUUAGAAAAGAAUCCAGGUAUGUAUUUAUUUAUUGUAAUUUUUGUAUAUUUGUUUCUUUUACAUAAGUGAAUAAAUUUAUUGUGUCCCAAAAUAUGCAGCAAUGUGAUAACUUCAUCAGCUGUUGUGACGAAUAUGUUCGAGUGUUUCAUAAUCAAGGGAGGUUGCAAAUGGACACAUCUGAGCGUUUAAAUGUAACAACUCAUCCAACGAAUACUAACGAAUCCAAUGAAUUAGCGAUAGUGAAAAUUGAAAUGCAUCAAUUGCAACUAACUGUGCAAUUUGUUAUAAUUGUUAAUGUUAUGUACGCGGUGUCGUUGUUAAUGUUAUUAAAUCGGUUGUAAUUUUGAUAAUUUUCAUUAUCUAACCAACACGUUAUGUAUACAGUGUAUAAUUUCCUUAGUCUUCUCUUUGCCUUUUGCUCAUCCUUUCAACCCUUUUGUAUAAAGGAACUUGUGCAUUUAUAGGUAUCGAAUGGGAUUUCCUACUAUGUUGGUUUUACAAUAGUAGUAUUUUAUAAGUUGAAUUUUGG
rnacentral:lncRNA from 1 species